CUACUUACCCGGCAGUAGAUACCAUGAUGGUGAAGGUGGUUUUCCCAGGGUGAGGCUUAUCUAUUGCACUCUAGAUGUGCUGAUCCCUGCAAUUUCCCCAAAUAAGGGAAACUCAACUGCAAAUUUGUGGUAGCGGGGGACUGCAUUCAUGCUCUCCCCUG
ensembl:snRNA U1 U1 spliceosomal RNA